GAUGAACGCUGGCGGCGUGCCUAAUACAUGCAAGUCGAGCGAACAGACGAGGAGCUUGCUCCUCUGACGUUAGCGGCGGACGGGUGAGUAACACGUGGAUAACCUACCUAUAAGACUGGGAUAACUUCGGGAAACCGGAGCUAAUACCGGAUAAUAUAUUGAACCGCAUGGUUCAAUAGUGAAAGACGGUUUUGCUGUCACUUUAGAUGGAUCCGCGCCGCAUUAGCUAGUUGGUAAGGUAACGGCUUACCAAGGCAACGAUGCGUAGCCGACCUGAGAGGGUGAUCGGCCACACUGGAACUGAGACACGGUCCAGACUCCUACGGGAGGCAGCAGUAGGGAAUCUUCCGCAAUGGGCGAAAGCUUGACGGAGCAACGCCGCGUGAGUGAUGAAGGUCUUCGGAUCGUAAAACUCUGUUAUUAGGGAAGAACAAAUGUGUAAGUAACUAUGCACGUCUUGACGGUACCUAAUCAGAAAGCCACGGCUAACUACGUG
rnacentral:rRNA from 1 species